UUGUUUCUACAGAUGCAACCCCCUCAGACCCUCCUUCAACACCACUCUCUGAAGAUAAGAUGGAAACAUUAAGGGUCCAAUUAAACGCACCCGCAGGAAUGAAUCUUGAAGACCCCAAAGUGAGCGAAGCCCUUUUAGAGCAGAUUCGGGAGCACUUCUCCAAGAACUUUCCAAUGGAUGGCGUUAAGCUGCGCUGGAGAAAACAAGACGGACAGAUUUUCCACAAGGAGGAGGAAGAGAAGAAGGAGGAGAAGUGCUCCGAGCCGUGAGACACCAACAUUGAUCUCUUAUUAACAACUCAAACUUCUUCAAAAACACAUUUAAAAGCUGGUAUACGGGAGCAUUAGUUUGAGAUGGUACGACAGAUUCAGAGUAGGAUUAGGGGUUAAUAAAGGCUUUUGAGUGUGCCUGUGAAUGUUAUAUUAGUGACUACAACUAUAAUUUAAAUUAGCUGAAUUGAGGGGUUUAGUUGUAGAUGGAUUUUACGAUACCUACUGGUGCAAUGUAGAUUUAUUUUGAGGUGUUGGUUUUAGUUUUAAAAUAGUUUUACAUUAUUUGUGUAACUCAGAUUUUUAAUUGGGUGAUGGGUAUAUUUUGGGUAUUUUAAUUUGAUUUAUAAUAUAGAGAUUAUCUAUAUACUGUAUCUCAGUUACUGCUACAACACUAACAUAAGGUGAUGGGUAUAUUUUGUUUUCACAAAGAAUUCUAAGUUAUAUUACAAUAGUUACUAGGGAUUAUAUGAAGGCUUUUGGGUUUGUGUUUUAUUUGUUAUGAUGUAAAAAAGCAAAACAAUACAAUAUAUACAGAGUGAUUACAAAGGAAGUGGGCCAUUUUACAAAGGCAUGACGGAAUACAUGUACACCUUGCAAGUUCCUGUACAAUCCCAUAGGGGGCGCCACAAAACAUUACUGCAAUUAUUUGUAAAGUAUUGAUGCAACAGAACUUUAAAAACAAGGAACCAGGGUAAUUUGCUCAUCAGAUAGACAGGGUCAAGUAACAUGGCGGAUAAUAUCCUUUGCACAUGAUCCGCUCGUGAAGUGACAUCGACAGCUCUUGAUCUGCGCUGUCAGGAGAGCUUCACGCUAGGCUGGGUAAGUGAGACGAGUUGCCCUGGUGCAGGGGGUGUGGGUCGGUAACACUGGCCCUUCUCAACCAUGUCCUUAAUUAUCACCUGGGUGAGGGGCCCUUCAGGACUGGAGCUGCUAUAGCAAUGGAAGGACUGCUGCAGCAUACGUUAAGACUGGUGGCGCCCCCUAUGGUCUUUAUAAUCAGCCUGUAUUUACAAAAAACACAAGCAUGUAGAGUGACAGGACAGCAGUGUGUAGAUCCACUGUUGUCCGUUUUAGUUUUAAAUUAAUUUUAUACUACCUAUUUGUGCAACUGUGAUUUAUAAUUGGGUGAUGGGUAUAUUUUCAUUUGAUAAUAAUAGUUUACAUUAGUUACUGGUGCAACACUAAUUUUGUAACACGGUGAUGGGUAAAUUUUGUGUAUUUUAAUUUGAUUUAUUUAAAUAGAUAGAGAUAUGGGGCUCUGUACUAAUAUUGCCUAUUUGUUCAUAAAUACUGUGAAUUCUUAGCCUCCGUCCUUCGUAGAAUUUCUGCAUGCAAUGUUCUAAUGUAAAAUCACAGCAAGUUUAUGAACAGCCUAAAAUAUCGCUUAUUAUACAGGAGAGAUCGGCGUUUGCAUCUCAUUAUAAAUGGAUUUGCAGCGAUUUAGAACGUGCUUCCGGAAGUAAAGUAAACAUUACAAUGUAAUAAUGUGUAGCGCAAACAGACCCUGGCAAAGCAAAAAAACAAACAUGUAGCUCUAAGAGAGAGGGUCCACAAAAACAGAAAGCAGGAAUAAAAUGAACCUCUUUCUAGAUAUGGAAGUUUACCAUGGUACAUUUGCAUGAUAAUUCUGCAGUCGCUACCAUGUUUUUACUCGUCUGUACCCCAAGCUUCCAUAUGUGUUCAGUGCUUAAAUUUAAAGGUUUAUGUAUAUAAUUUUAGUUGUGCAAAGGGAAAGUCCAGUACAUACAGUAGGCUACCCAAGUAAAUACUUUUUGGCGUAGUUCAGCUGUCUGCACUAUAUGAGAGGUCUCCAGCCCUGGUCCUGGAUGGGUUGAAUAUGAUGAUCUUGAAGUACAGUACUGUGGAUUUUGCUCUGUGCUGCUCAGUGUUGCCAACUCUUAAGAUCUGAAAGUCGACAUUUUAAAGCAAAAGUUGAAAACGAUCACAGUACACAGACCCCCCCCCCCCCGAAUACAUUGCAUAUAUUGAUAAGAAAUAGCUUUGCAGGACGUUGUAUUACAUUUUAAGCACACCUAUUGAAAAAUAAAAGUACAACAAGAUAUUUGAGUUUAAAACAAUAAAAAAAGCCCUGAAACAGAACGCUGGUUUAACGGUUGAUAUGUAAAAUGUAAUAAUAUCAUAUGGCUGUGAAUACAGCUUCCUCAUUCAUCCCUGUAUAAAAAGCGCAUUGGCGCGAUUUGUAUUGGUUUUCACAAAUUAUUUAAGGUUUACAGUUAAAGGAAAGGUUAACCCUUCAGCUUCAUAUUUUAAGUUGUUUUGAAACUUCAAAUCAACUUCACCACUGUCAUGUAGCUGGUGCGUUUACAUUGUGGUUGUUAAGCCCGUUACUAAGCAAACAAAUUCACCAAAUUGGCAGCACUGGUGCUGCUCAGAGUUUAUUUGCAAUACUGUAACUGUAAUAACUCCAACUCAUAUUGAAAUAUGCACCUACAAUUAAUCCAGAGGCAACAUCUGCCGGAUUGUAAUAAAUAGCACAGCAUUCACAGCGAGUUUGAUUGCAGCUGCAAUAACACCAUUCAUUGCUGUCAGCUUUGCAGGCAACACGGGGAUCAGGAAGGGUUAAAUUACGUUUAAAAUAAAGCACAUUCAAAUAUAAAAUAAACCAAAACAAAAAAACAUGUAUUUAUUGACAAUGUUAUUUAAUAUAGACUUAAAUACUUUUGGUUUCUUUUUUUUAAGUUACUAAAUGUCCUCAGAGGCAGACUGACUUACGAACAGCUUGUUGAAUCUACGCCAGUGCGAGGCAGGCGUAAAAUAACAAGCACAAAACACUGCUGUAAAUCAGCAAAACAUGACGACACAUCAAGCGCAGCACGAAACUUCAACAUUAGAAUGAGAUUCGUACAUUUGUAUGCUUAAGUACCUUGAAACGAACAGUCGUAACAAAAUUACUGGAGCAGGGAUGAAACCAAGUUACGGGAGUGAAAACGACUUUAAUACAUCGCGGGGAGGUCAACGAAUUCACAAAAACCUACGAAAAGACAAGAUAUGAAAGAGAAAUCAAUGAUAUAUAGAGCCCAUUAUCUAUAUAUCUACAUAUUAUUAUUUGUUUAUUUAGCAGACACCUUUACCCAAGGUGACUUAGAAACUAGGGUGUGUGAAAUAUGCAUCAGCUGCAGAGGCACUUACAAUUACGUCUCACCCAAAAGACGGAGCACAAGAAGGUUAAGUGACUUGCUCAGGGUCACAGAAUGAGCCAGUGGCUGAGGUGGGAUUUGAACCUGGGACCUCCUGGUUACAUAACUCGGUUACUGCUAAAACACUGAUUGAUAACAAGGUGAUGGGUAUAUUUCACACUAAUUCUAAUUUAUAUUAUAAUAGUUACUAGGGAUUAUAUGAAGGCUUUGGGGUUUGUUUUAUUUAUGAUGUAAAAAAAGCAAAACAAUACAAUAUAUACAGAGUGAUUACAAAGGAAGUGGGCCAUUUUACAAAGGCAUGACAAUAAAUGUACACCUUGCAAGUUCCUGUACAAUCCCAUAGGGGGCACCACAAAACAUUACAGGGGUGGGUGGGAUAAAAAAAACAAUAAUGCCAUUAUUUGUAGUCUUGAUGCUUCAGAAUCAGGGUUAAUUGCUUAUCAGACAAACAAUGAAAAUGAUCUUGAUCAUGCAAAAUUAAAAUGAGAAUACAAAGAAUUUAAAAACGUGUUAAGUUCACAACCACACAGUCAGGUCCACCUGAUUCACUGCAGUCUGCUGGAUACAAUGAAACAUGGGGUUCAGUCAUUAACGCUUGGGUUCAGGGCUUCUCUGCUGUGUAUCAAUAUCAAUACUUUAACUGUAUGAGAAACAAGGCAUUGGUUCACUGUUCAUACUCUGUAUUUAUUAAUAUUUUUUGCUGAAUUGUUUCAAUAAAGU